UAAUCUGUCAUCUGUUUCAAA
rnacentral:piRNA from 1 species